AGGGAGGAAGAAAUGGGAACUGACUGCUUAAUAAGUAUGGGAUUUUUGGUGGGGUGUUGAUGCAAUGUUUUGCAACUAGAUAGGGAUGAUGGCUGGCUGCACAGCAUUCUGAUUGCCAAAAGACUUAAGCUAAGUGUCUCAUGGAGAAGGGAAACAACUAUUAUGAGUCAUCUACACCUUACUGCCAACAAAUCUCAUGUCAUUUCCCGACAAUGGGUUUAGAGGAGAAGAAUGACAUAGCCCAAUGAAGAUAGGAAACUAUUCUGGACUUUGGAAGAAUAUGUAAAAAAAACAAAAAAAAAAACAAAAAAAAAAAAACAAGUUUUCUGUAUUUCUUCUAGAUGGGAGAAGACAAGGAAUGAAAAAGGAAACCAAGAUAAUUUCAUACUAGAGAGGUCUAGGCUCUGGAAAGGAGGUGACUAAACCCCUGGAUAGAUCUGGAGAUUCUGAGAUCAGGGAGUAUCAGUGACACACCUCGCAGACCUGAUCCUUCCUGAAACCAGUCUAGCAAACUGGGGAAAUCAAGGAAAAUGAAAUGACUAUGUGGUAUAUCUGAGAAGAUGGGCCAGAGGCACCUUUGUAGAGUUACCCAUAGCAUAGAAAGAUCGAGAACAGAAGGAUAUAUUCUGUGUGUCCAAGCCUAGUGCAGACAUGGGGCGUGAAGCCAGGGCCCACACACAAAAGGCCCUGUGGCUGCCUUGAAGGGGCUGCAGGGGGUACCUGGAGGAAUAGAGGAAGACACCAAAGACAAAAUGCUCACU